UCUUUCUUUGCUGGCGACCGGCGCACGGGUGAGUAACACGUAUCCAACCUGCCCUUUACUCGGGGAUAGCCUUUCGAAAGAAAGAUUAAUACCCGAUGUAUAAUGAUUCCGCAUGGUUUCAUUAUUAAAGGAUUCCGGUAAAGGAUGGGGAUGCGUUCCAUUAGGUUGUUGGUGAGGUAACGGCUCACCAAGCCUUCGAUGGAUAGGGGUUCUGAGAGGAAGGUCCCCCACAUUGGAACUGAGACACGGUCCAA
rnacentral:rRNA from 1 species